GCUUGGUCAUAAACCCAGACAUUUUAAACCACACAAUGUCCGCCAGAGUACUACAAGUGAAAAACUAGAAACUCAAAGGACUUGACGGUGUCCCACAUCAACCUAGAGGAGCCUGUCCUAUAAUCGAUACCCCACGAAAAACCUCACCCCCUCUAGCAAAACAGCCUAUAUACCGCCGUCGCCAGCCUACCUUGUGAAAGACACCAAGUAAGCAAAACGUAGUUUUUUCCCACAAAACGUCAGGUCAAGGUGUAGCAUAUGAGGCGGGAAGAGAUGGGCUACAUUUUCUAAAAAGAAAACACUAACAACACCUUGAAAUAAGUGUAAAACGGUGGAUUUAGCAGUAAGCUAAGUUAGACAGCUAAACUGAAAACAUGCUCUGGGACGCGU
rnacentral:rRNA from 1 species